GAUGAACGCUGGCGGCGUGCUUAACACAUGCAAGUCUAACGAUGAAGCCCAGCUUGCUGGGUGGAUUAGUGGCGAACGGGUGAGUAACACGUGAGUAACCUGCCCUUAACUCUGGGAUAAGCCUGGGAAACUGGGUCUAAUACCGGAUAGGAGCGCCUACCGCAUGGUGGGUGUUGGAAAGAUUUAUCGGUUUUGGAUGGACUCGCGGCCUAUCAGCUUGUUGGUGAGGUAAUGGCUCACCAAGGCGACGACGGGUAGCCGGCCUGAGAGGGUGACCGGCCACACUGGGACUGAGACACGGACCAGACUCCUACGGGAGGCAGCAGUGGGGAAUAUUGCACAAUGGGCGAAAGCCUGAUGCAGCGACGCCGCGUGAGGGAUGACGGCCUUCGGGUUGUAAACCUCUUUCAGUAGGGAAGAAGCGAAAGUGACGGUACCUGCAGAAGAAGCACCGGCUAACUACGUG
rnacentral:rRNA from 1 species